UACGUAGGGGGCAAGCGUUGUCCGGAUUUAUUGGGCGUAAAGAGCGUGUAGGCGGCCAGGUAGGUCUGCUGUGAAAACUCGAGGCUCAACCUCGAGACGUCGGCGGAAACCAUCUGGCUAGAGUCCGGAAGAGGAGAGUGGAAUUCCUGGUGUAGCGGUGAAAUGCGCAGAUAUCAGGAAGAACACCCGUGGCGAAAGCGGCUCUCUGGGACGGUACUGACGCUGAGACGCGAAAGCGUGGGGAGCGAACAGG
rnacentral:rRNA from 1 species